GUUAGGUCGGAUAAAUAAAGUCUCUUGGUAGAAACUGCAGAGAGACGUGAUGUCGUGGUCACUGGCGGGUCAACUCGGCCUUUCUAAGGAGAAGGGGAUGGGAUCUCCCCUCUGACUCCGCUCUCCGCUGGAGGGGGUCUGCGUGCCUGGGGCCGGCCCCACGUGCCCCUCUUCUCGCGGGACACGACUGCCCAGCCCCAGCGGCGGGUCUGCACUGUGCCAAGUGCAGCCCUGGCUUCUCUGUCCACGGCGGACGAGUGACCCGCCAGCCGCUGGGCCUCAUUCCUCCGGCAGGUGUAAGGCCUUCCUGGAGGCCCAGCAGGCACUAACGUCACAGAGAUGCGUCCCCAGAACCCACUAAGACAAAUGCGUGUGAGAAGAACAGAGCACGACCCUGCCCCUAUCUGUGUGGCUGUUCAGAAGCUGCGCGAACUUUUCACAGAUGGGAUUUCCCUCUUGGGAAGUCCCGGGAAGAGCAAGCCGGAAUGCCAGCGCAUCCUGGGCCGGCUAACUGCCUCCGAAUGAAAGCAUAGGAAACCUCCCGAGAAGGUCCCCGAACACAUGCUGCCUAACUGGUGCUGCCUGCCCCUCUCCACCGUGUGUCCACUUCUCUGGAGCUGUUCAGCCCGGAAGAGAGGCUUGUAUGCCAGCCAGGGGUGCUGCUUCCUCCAGGAAAACGGGGAGAAGUGACAGUUGUUUACUCUUUAUACUUCAUGCGUUAAUAUCGAUGACUUAUUUGACGAGCGAUCAGAGAAGCGGCCUGCGAGCUGACGGUCGUGCAGGCCAGCGCGCACGAGGAAUCUGCUGCAGCCCCAGAAGCAUUGAGACAGAGAACAGAUCUCUGGGCUUGGAAAGCGCGGGAAACGAUGGGAAAACCUGAGUCCUCUUCUCACCCUUCAGCUGUGGAAGAGGAACUUCACAGAAGAACUGGAAUGAGCCGUGCAGUAGAGAUCCUCGUCCUGCCUUGGGAUUAAAGGUGUUUAUAGGGGGGUCAAUGCCGUCUUCUCUUUGCCCUUAAGAAAAGUUUCACUCUCUAACAACUACUUUACCCAUAAAACGUUACUCAUUUUCAUUGUAUAAAAAUAUAAUUAAGCAAAAGAGGGGAAAGGGUGUCUCUAAUUCUAGACAAUCACUUUUAAAAUUUUAGUCUCGAUCUUUCCAUAAGCCUAUAUGUAAACAUACAGCUGAUGCGGUUUCACAAUGUGAUAUUAUGUCAUACAUCUUCGCCUAGACAGAGGCGACGCAGAACGGAGGUUAAAACACAGACUCUUAAGCCAGAAUUCCUGGCUUUGAAUGCUGGCUCUGUUAAUUAUUAGCUGUGCAGAUCCUAGGCAGAUAACUUAACUCCUCUGUGCCUCUGUUACUUCCUGGGUGAGAUGGGCAUAAUGGCAGCCCCUGCCUUGCCAGUUUGUUGGGAGGGUUACAUGAGGUGGUACAUACAGUAAGCGCUUAGAAUAGCCCCUGAAGUACCGGGAGCACGAGACACAGAGCCACUGCUGCUUCCGUUGUUCACUUAUCGUACUGUGAACAACUUCCCAAUAAAUACACACCAGUCUCGUCAUUCUAACGGCUGCUCCCUGAUUCUCCGUGAUGACACUCCUGCUGGUUAAAUAAGGAGAGUUGCAUCACAUGGCAUUUUACAACGUAUGCCUUGAACGGUACAUAGAUUUUGGAAUUAGAAAUGAGAAUUAGAAUUGAAUGCUUGAUAACAAACUGUCAGGAGACACUUCUCCCUGGGUCUCUGGCUUAUCUUAUUUCUGCUUAUCUUGUGAGCCUCAUGGGCACCAAGGGUCCUUAGUUCUGAAAUAUCUUUUCAAGGGUAUUUGUAGAGGGAAUGGCCUGAAAUUCAGAGACAGUGUCUGUCUUGGGAGCAAUAAGCCAACAUGCUUGCCGUCCGGUAGAUUAGAGACACUGUCCGGUAGAUUAGAGACACUGUCCGGUAGAUUAGAGACACUGUCCCGUAGAUUAGAGACACUGUCCCCUCCAGAGACAAAGGUUCAUGCUUGCUGUCUGUUAUGGGCUGAGUUGUGUCUCCCUAAAAUUCACAGGUUGAAAUCCCAACCCCCGCACCUUGGAAUGUGAGGUGUCCUUGCAGAUGUCAUUGGUUAAGCUGGAGUCAUUCUAGAACAGGGGCUCCCUAAUCCAAUACGACUGUGCCCUUAUAUAAAGGGGACAUUUGGACGCAGACGUACACACAGAGAGAUGCCACGUGAAGAUGAAGAGAUCGGGGUGAUGCUCCUACAAACCCAGGGACACUGAACAUGGCCAGCAAAGCCCCAGCAGCCAAGGGACAGCCUGGACCCUCAGAAGGAAGCAGCAGUGGUGACACCCUGGUAUCAGGCCUCUGGCCUCCGAAACAGUGGAACAGUACAUUUCUAAGCCCCUGGGUUUGCGGAGCUUUGUCACAGCAGUGCUAGCAAACGAAUACACUGCACUUUAGACAACGUUCAUGUUCCCUAAGCUCGGGUUCCUACAAGGCAACCCACUACGUGUGCGCGUGUCACCUGGGCCUUCGCGUCACCCUGCGGGGCCGGUACAGAUGCUGCCCGCUGCCAUCAUGGGAGGGACGCACUGCCUCUGUCUCUGGCCCAGGAGCCUCACGUCCUCUGCCAGAAUCCCCGAUACUGUGUCAGGCCGACCUGACGAUGUGCAAGUGGGGUCACACCUCAGCCCUUAAGACCUCUUGAUGUAAACCUCUAGAAGGGCCCAGAGUGAGUUUACUCUGACGUGAGCCAGAUGAGGUGGAUGGAGAAACACACACGCGCACACACACACACAC